UUGGACUUACUAUUAUAGACCAGGCUGGCCUUGAACUCAUGGAGAGGAUCCUACCUCAGCCUCCUGAGUGCUAGAACUGCAGAUGUGUACCACCACACCUAGCUAUGUCUUUUGUUUUAUUGAGACAGGGUCUCACUAUGUAAUUCAGGCUGGCCUUGAACUCACUAUGUAGCCCAGGUUGGCCUUGAACUUACAGCAAUCAUCCUGUUUCAGCCUCUAAUUUAUAAAUUUUAAGAAGCAAAGAAUACACAAAUUUAUACCUUGCAAAUAUCUUUACUAUUUUAAACUUAAUUAUAAAUAACUCAGAUGUUUUACUUAUCUAAUUUAUUUUUUAAACAAUUACCUCUACAUUGUCCACAAAAUAUAAAUAUCCGAUAAACACAAGUUAAUGUCUCAAAACAAUUUUUCCCCCCUGAGGAAAAAAAUCUCAAAAAUUGUAUCAAUACCUGGAAAUUACAUCUACAUGUCCUACAACAGAAUGCUAUUUUAAAGUCUUUGAAAUAAUUCCUGGGUCUUUUGAACUUGACCUCAAUGAAUGAUUUUUUUAACCAAAAGCAAACUAUCCUGGAUAAUAAGGAUGCCCAUAAGUGAAUCCACUUGGAAGACUAUAAAAGAACUUUACUAGUCAUGGACAUUUAAAAUGGCAAAGUUCAGAAGAUCUAGAAAAGAUCCACAAACUACAAUGAGAAAUACUGGUGCAAUAUUAAUGCUUCCUGGUUAGUCAUUCAAGACUUGGGUAAGUUAUUAUUCAAGUAAACAUGGACCCAGCUAUUUUGCAAAAUCAGGAAGAAGCACAAUACUGAGGUAGGAGAUUAGGGCUGGGGCAAACUGGUUGAACAAAAAGUCUGUCAGUCACGGUGAUCCAGGGCACAUGCACGAGUACACAGGACCCAGCAUGACUGCAGUUCCUGAACACAGUACAUGGGAUCAAUCAGAAAAGUGCCACUCUUAAUUCUUCAUUUACAUCUAGGAGCAAAACCAUGCAAGCCUUCAAUAAGACAGCUUAAAUCUGACGCCAGGCCAGGGAUUGAACUCUGGUCCUUGCACUUGAGCAGCAGGCGGCGAAACUACUGAGCUGAAUCCCCCGCCCCUAAAUUUGCAUAUCUGAAGGUAAGAUUCCUGGUUGUAGCCAGGUGAGAAAUACACAUUUCAAAAGAAAUUGCUUGGUCAGUUAAUCUGACUUUGAACUUCCUGAAGCUUUUUUUCCCUGCCUUAACUUAUUAUAGGUUUUAGUUUGAAAAGCUCUUUUUUAGACAGGGUCUCACUAUGUAGUUCAGGCUGGCCUUGAACUCCUGGCAAUCCUCCUGCCUCAGCCUCCCAAGUGCUGGGAUUACAGGCCUGCGCCACCAUGCCUGGUCAAUUUAAAAGCUCUUGCCCUAGAUUUUAAGACACUUUUCAUUGU
rnacentral:lncRNA from 1 species